rnacentral:rRNA from 1 species
AUUGAACGCUGGCGGCAGGCCUAACACAUGCAAGUCGAACGAGUGGCGGACGGGUGAGUAAUGUCUGGACAACUGCCUGAUGGAGGGGGAUAACGACUGGAAACGGUAGCUACUACCGCAUACUGUGAGAUGGACCUGCGUUGUACUAGCUAGUUGGUGAGGUAAAGGCUCACCAAGGCGACGAUACAUAGCCGACCUGAGAGGGUGAUCGGCCCCACUGGAACUGAGACACGGUCCAGACUCCUACGGGAGGCAGCAGUGGGGAAUAUUCGACAAUGGGCGCAAGCCUGAUGCAGCCAUGCCGCGUGUGUGAAGAAGGCCUUCGGGUUGUAAAGCACUUUCAGCGGGGAGGCGUUACCCGCAGAAGAAGCACCGGCUAACUCCGUGCCAGCAGCCGCGGUAAUAC